ACUAAAGUGAAGAGUUAAGAGAGGAGGAAAAGAGGAAAUUAAAAUGAUGAUUUGUGAAAUUGUCAUGGUAACUAGCACCCAAAUAUGAAAAAUAUAAAGAAAUAUGCAGUCUAAUUUUUUUUUUCCUGUAUGAGGUGUGGAACUUGGGCUGUCCAAAAAGGAAACAGUGCAGGCCUGGGGCGUGCUGAUGCACAGGGACAGUGGGAGAUAAAAGGAAAACACAAGAGUGAAGAAGCCGUUCUUCAGUGUGUAUAAAAGCUCUCUCUCUCCAGAAAAGGCAAACGAGCAUUCAAGAGAAAGGCUUAAGUAGGUAGUUCAGAGGAAGGAAUGUGAAGAAUAAUGAAUAUUCUUGCCAUGAUAGCACACAAGUUGGUUUACACAGAUUAUUUCCUAGGAGGUGGGUAAGGCUUAUGGGACAGGCCCAGCAUGAAGCUCCAUCCUGUGUGCUGCAAGGAGUUGAGGAAAAUAAGAUUUAAAUUGUAUUUCAAAGUCCAAGAACACAACAUUUACAGAUCAUGAGGCUCUGUGUAAUAGCCUACCAUCUUUGCAGAGUCGUAUCAACGCCAUGGCCUCAGCUUACUGUGCUGGCCUCAGGGAGGAAUAAGAAAGGCCACCAUCAUGAACUUGCCCCCAGGGAGGAAAGGGCCAGUGGGCAGAUUGCAAAUUUCAUUCAUCUCAGUGGCUUUCACUUGCCAUCCUUGGACCUUUCUCUGAGAGCAGGACAUCCUUGUGGCAUGGUUCCCUAUUCAAAAUUGGUGCCCAGACAAAAUGCAACACAGUAGCAACAAGCAAACCUCUGUGGGUGGUGGAGGAAUGGUUCUUCAAUGGCUGCCUUGGUUAUAUCCAUGACCUUCCCACACGACCAGUAAGCCACACAAAGCCUUCUCCAGGAACCACUUAUCUUAGGAGUAAUUUUCAAAAUUUGGAGCUUAUAGGAGUUGCUCCUGAAAGUAUCAGGUGACAAGGCAGGCAGAAGAGAGGUUAGUGAAAGGGGUGUGUGCUUAAGGGUUGGGAGGAAGAUUCAGUCCCCGGUUCCCCAUGUCAUCUCUGGGAUCUGGACUGGACAUAGUCUUUUGGAGCCUUCUAGCCUCAGCCUGACCCCGGGUAGUGAUACCAACCGGAAGGACUUGGGUGAGGGAGAAGUGGAAACGAGAAGGAUUCACACUGCAAUUUCUUGGUGUCCUUCCCACAUUGAUUAUGUGCAAGUAUCAGAAUGUUAGGGGGAAAAUACAUAUCAGGCAGGGAAUUGCACUAAUAAAUCUCCUAAUUCUCUUCCAGCUGUGUAAUUUAUGACUCUGUUGGUGAUGACUUAUUGGCUUGCAGGUGAUAUAAUCAAGGACACCCAGAGACUAACAAAGUGAAGGGAAAUUACAUCUAUGGCAACAGCAGAAUAAACAGUACAAAAUAACAGAUUUUGUGAGACUAGGAAAAUAAGGCAGCUAAAGAGUGGGGGCAGCCCACUGCAUCGAGAAGCAGGCUUCUGUGGCAAGCCUGACUCUGCCCCUUAACCAACUGUGAGGUUUUACUCCAGUGAAGAAAGCUCUCUGGGCUUCAGCUCGGUCAACUGCAGCAUGAAGAGGACAACACUAACCUCUUAGGGGCACUCUGGGGAUUAGAGGAGACUUCAAUGAAUAUGAAAACAGCUAGCAAAUUGUUAGCACUUAAUAGAUGCUAAACUAAUUUCAGUUGAAAUACAGUAAUUUAAAGAAAUAAAACAUUUACAAAAUAAGGGCCAUGCACAUGGGGAUUGCAAAGUUUAUCCAGUACAGACAGCUGAAAAGAUGCUAAGACAGAGGUUCCCAAUGGUGCUGCACACUGACAUCUCAGAGGCAUCUUGAAAGGUACCAAUGCC
rnacentral:lncRNA from 1 species